UACGAAGGGGGCUAGCGUUGUUCGGAAUCACUGGGCGUAAAGCGCACGUAGGCGGAUCUUUAAGUCAGGGGUGAAAUCCCGAGGCUCAACCUCGGAACUGCCUUUGAUACUGGGGAUCUCGAGUCCGGGAGAGGUGAGUGGAACUGCGAGUGUAGAGGUGAAAUUCGUAGAUAUUCGCAAGAAACACCAGUGGCGAAGGCGGCUCACUGGCCCGGAACUGACGCUGAGGUGCGAAAGCGUGGGGAGCAAACAGGGAU
rnacentral:rRNA from 1 species